rnacentral:rRNA from 1 species
UAUUUAGGUAGUGCCUCGAGUAUGAGACUGAUGGGGGUAAAGCACUGUUAUGGCUAGGGGGUUAUUGCAACUUACCAACCCAUGGCAAACUAAGAAUACCAUCAAGUUGCUCCUCGGGAGACAGACAUCGGGUGCUAACGUCCGGUGUCAAGAGGGAAACAACCCAGACCGCCAGCUAAGGUCCCAAAUGAUAGAUUAAGUGGUAAACGAAGUGGGAAGGCACAGACAGCCAGGAUGUUGGCUUAGAAGCAGCCAUCAUUUAAAGAAAGCGUAAUAGCUCACUGGUCGAGUCUUCCUGCGCGGAAGAUGUAACGGGGCUCAAAUCUAUAACCGAAGCUGCGGAUAUACUUUUGUAUAUGGUAGGGGAGCGUUCUGUAAGCCUGUGAAGGUGACUUGUAAAGGUUGCUGGAGGUAUCAGAAGUGCGAAUGUUGACAUGAGUAGCGAUAAAGCGGGUGAAAAGCCCGCUCGCCGAAAGCCCAAGGUUUCCUACGCAACGUUCAUCGGCGUAGGGUGAGUCGGCCCCUAAGGCGAGGCAGAAAUGCGUAGUCGAUGGGAAACAGGUUAAUAUUCCUGUACUUUGAUUCAAUGCGAUGUGGGGACGGAGAAGGUUAGGUUAGCAAACUGUUGGAAUAGUUUGUUUAAGCCAGUAGGUGGAAAGAGUAGGCAAAUCCGCUCUUUCUUAACACCGAGACGUGAUGACGAGUGUCUACGGACAUGAAGUGACCAAUACCACGCUUCCAGGAAAAGCCACUAAGCUUCAGUUGAAUCAGAACCGUACCGCAAACCGACACAGGUGGGCAGGAUGAGAAUUCUAAGGCGCUUGAGAGAACUCGGGAGAAGGAACUCGGCAAAUUGAUACCGUAACUUCGGGAGAAGGUAUGCCCUCUAAUGUUAAGGACUUGCUCCGUAAGCAUCUGAGGGUCGCAGAGAAUCGGUGGCUGCGACUGUUUAUUAAAAACACAGCACUCUGCUAACACGAAAGUGGACGUAUAGGGUGUGACGCCUGCCCGGUGCUGGAAGGUUAAUUGAAGAUGUGCAAGCAUCGGAUCGAAGCCCCAGUAAACGGCGGCCGUAACUAUAACGGUCCUAAGGUAGCGAAAUUCCUUGUCGGGUAAGUUCCGACCCGCACGAAUGGCGUAACGAUGGCCACACUGUCUCCUCCCGAGACUCAGCGAAGUUGAAAUGGUUGUGAAGAUGCAAUCUCCCCGCUGCUAGACGGAAAGACCCCGUGAACCUUUACUGUAGCUUUGCAUUGGACUUUGAAGUCACUUGUGUAGGAUAGGUGGGAGGCUUUGAAGCAGAGACGCCAGUCUCUGUGGAGCUGUCCUUGAAAUACCACCCUGGUGACUUUGAGGUUCUAACCCAGACCCGUUAUCCGGGUCGGGGACCGUGCAUGGUAGGCAGUUUGACUGGGGCGGUCUCCUCCCAAAGAGUAACGGAGGAGUUCGAAGGUUACCUAGGUCCGGUCGGAAAUCGGACUGAUAGUGCAAUGGCAAAAGGUAGCUUAACUGCGAGACCGACAAGUCGAGCAGGUGCGAAAGCAGGACAUAGUGAUCCGGUGGUUCUGAAUGGAAGGGCCAUCGCUCAACGGAUAAAAGGUACUCCGGGGAUAACAGGCUGAUUCCGCCCAAGAGUCCAUAUCGACGGCGGAGUUUGGCACCUCGAUGUCGGCUCAUCACAUCCUGGGGCUGUAGUCGGUCCCAAGGGUAUGGCUGUUCGCCAUUUAAAGUGGUACGUGAGCUGGGUUUAAAACGUCGUGAGACAGUUUGGUCCCUAUCUGCAG